GUAGGGAAUAUUGGUUAAUGGGCGAAAGCCCGAACCAGCAACGCCGCGUGCGCGAUGAAGGCCUUCGGGUUGUAAAGCGCUUUUGGAGGGGAUGAGAAAGGACAGUACCCUCAGAAUAAGCCUCGGCUAACUACGUGCCAGCAGCCGCGGUAAAACGUAGGAGGCGAGCGUUAUCCGGAUUUACUGGGCGUAAAGCGCGUGCAGGUGGUACGGUUAGUUGGAUGUGAAAGCUCCUGGCUAAACUGGGAGAGGUCGUUCAAUACUGCCGAACUAGAGGAUGGGAGAGGAAGGUGGAAUUCCGAGUGUAGUGGUGAAAUGCGUAGAUAUUCGGAGGAACACCAGUGGCGAAAGCGGCCUUCUGGCCCAUUUCUGACACUCAGACGCGAAAGCUAGGGGAGCGAACGGGAUUAGAAACCCUAGUAGUCC
rnacentral:rRNA from 1 species